rnacentral:rRNA from 1 species
UACGGAGGGGGCUAGCGUUGUUCGGAAUUACUGGGCGUAAAGAGUGUGUAGGCGGUGCUCUAAGUUCGGUGUGAAAUCUCCCGGCUUAACUGGGAGGGUGCGCCGGAAACUGGAGUGCUCGAGCGUGGGAGAGGAAAGCGGAAUUCCUGGUGUAGCGGUGAAAUGCGUAGAUAUCAGGAGGAACACCUGCGGUGUAGACGGCUUUCUGGACCAUUGCUGACGCUGAGACACGAAAGCGUGGGUAGCAAACAGG